rnacentral:rRNA from 1 species
CGAACGGGUGAGUAACACGUGGGUAACCUGCCCAGAAGUAGGGGAUAACACCUGGAAACAGAUGCUAAUACCGUAUAACAGAGAAAACCGCAUGGUUUUCUUUUAAAAGAUGGCUCUGCUAUCACUUCUGGAUGGACCCGCGGCGUAUUAGCUAGUUGGUGAGGUAAAGGCUCACCAAGGCAGUGAUACGUAGCCGACCUGAGAGGGUAAUCGGCCACAUUGGGACUGAGACACGGCCCAGACUCCUACGGGAGG